rnacentral:lncRNA from 1 species
AGAACCGGAGGGCCUCAGAAGGAGGAGCCUCCAGGUGAGCGGGCUCUCGGGGUGAUUGGGAAGAGACCUCGGGUGGAAGCCCGACUUCAAAGAGCUCUCAGCAGAAGAGUGGAAGGCCCCCGCCACAGAACCUGACAAAGUCCCCAGUGCUUACAGGCCCCCCACCCGGACCAGCAGGAACUUGUUCACGGGCUGCUACCACUGAAGCAGGACCACGGAUGUCUCCAAUGCCCCACACAGGAACGGGCCCCCGGAGCUAGCGCCCUCCGCUGUGGAGCACGCCUGGCAACCUUUGGUAUCCUGGAACUUAGUGGAGACCAUGUUCUUCCUGCAGAACAAGCCAGACCUGAGAGAGACAUGAGGACAUUGUUGAUGGAGUACACCCAGGUAGUCCGGCUAGAAAGAGCUGCAGAGCAAGGAGGAGACAGCUCCUGUAAGACCCCAGCAAAUCCCAAUUCCAGCUCCCACCUUGGCUCACCCGCGGUGCUGCCUGGCCCUCACCAUCUCCAGCGUGGCCCCUGAUCAUUUCGGUUCAGAAUGAAAAUGCCUUCCUCAGCUCCCAGGAGUAAGUGCUGGUCUGGGGAACAGAUAUGAAGAUGCUGGGACCUGCCUCUCAUCGAGGACCUCCCGCCCCUCAUCUGACCCAAACACGGGUAUCUGUUCCCAGCUGACCCUCAAUUCUCUACUUGCCUCCAAC